UGCUAACGUCCAUCGUGAAAAGGGAAACAACCCAGACCGCCAGCUAAGGUCCCAAAAUCAUAAUUAAGUGGAUAUGGAUGUGGUAACUCUGAC
rnacentral:rRNA from 1 species